UCGUUACAAGCACUUUGAUGUGCACUGUAGC
rnacentral:piRNA from 1 species